CGCCAACUUCCGUCUUUUCUGCGUUCGAUGGAAGGGCCCAGAGAAUCAUUUCUGCCACUCUUCUCAAGGUAUUUCAUUCUCUGUGAUGGAAAUCAAGAGUAGCAACAGCAACAUGGACUUCAAUCAGCUGAGAACACAUGCAGGAUUUUUGAUGCAUCAAAGUUUACACCACUGCAGUGACUAUGCUGACAUUUGUAUUUGAAUAAAUUUGACUCAUGGUUUUCA